rnacentral:rRNA from 1 species
UACGGAGGGUGCAAGCGUUGUCCGGAAUCACUGGGCGUAAAGGGCGCGUAGGCGGCCUGUUAAGUCGAACGUGAAAUCCCCGGGCUCAACCCGGGAACUGCGUCCGAUACUGGCAGGCUUGAAUCCGGGAGAGGGAUGCGGAAUUCCAGGUGUAGCGGUGAAAUGCGUAGAUAUCUGGAGGAAUACCGGUGGCGAAGGCGGCAUCCUGGACCGACAUUGACGCUGAGAACCGAAAGCUAGGGGAGCAAACGGG